ACAUUGAAUUUAGAAAGUUAAAUCUAGCAAACAACCUGACAGACUGUUCAGUCUUUAAUAAUGUGAGAAUAAACAGAAUAAAUUAAAAGCACACCAUAUUCUUCUCAGCUUCCUCAGGGGCUUUGUCCAAACAGCUUGAACAACUGCAAAAUAAUAUUCAGGAACCAUGAUAGUGUUUGGUACAUAGAGGACACUGGAAAUGGUUUUCUUAACUGAACAAGUGACUAGAAUAAAGGAAUUAAUGAACGACAUCAGAGCUGAAAUCCCAAACCAUAAAUCAUAAAAGGAUCAGACAGCAAAGAGUACUCAAAAGCUGAUUUAUUGAGAUCCUGAUGAGUUUGAAGUAACUAGAAACUUGAUCAAACAGUGACAAGACCCAAGAUUUGUUUUACUCUAAAGUGAGAAAUUAUCCUCAACAAAAAAACAUUUCACAGUGAGAAUCAGAAGAAUAUUUGCAUCAGGCAACUCUGGGUGCUAGAUAUUUAUUUUUUUUCUUUUUCACAUGAACUAUAAAAACUUACCACAAAAGACUGAUCUCCACAACUGCUUAUACUCUAGGAUUAUUAUACAUUGCACUGUUCUUGCUGAUACUCCAAAGACAUGUAGAAAAUAGAAAGGUAUAUUUCUCUCUUACCAUUUAUAGUCGAUUUCUUGAAAGAUAUGUACAUGUCGUUACCUUGCGUUCACCCCGCAACUGACUUCUGUAUAAUUUUCUACUCACCACCAGUGAAAAUGCACCUGUCAAAGGUAUUAACAUCACCCUUAUAACAAAUCUAAUUACCAUUUUUAGCCCUCACCUUAUUUAUCAUUUGAGUUCUUUUAAAAUUCUCAGAAGUUCCACCAUUGGAAAUAAAAAUGAAAAAGAUUUUGCAAAGGCAAUUAAUAAUGAGUCAUCAGAGAGAAUGAAGCCACCAAGGAAAUCUAAAGUUUCAAAAACUUGGGAAAGGUCGACAAUGUCAGACAUCCAAGGGAUGACUGAAAAUAUUCUGCUAAUAUGCCAUUGGUGAACAAUACAGAGAUUCCAAAAUGAAAGAAAAGUCAUCCUCUCUGGAAAUGUGAAGCAUAACUAAAGUUUGACCAACAAGUUGUAGAAGUGAAAGGCAUCAAAUAUAAUAACCAAAGAAAACAGAAAAAUACCACACGUCCGGUAAUUCCUCAGCUGGCAGUAAAAACAGAUGAUUGAUUUAAACCUUUUCUCUACAUACAUUCUCAGGUGGGAGGCCUUUGCCCCACAUUUUGCUAAUAAUGUUAUGCAUUUCAUGCAUCUAAUGUCACACUCUCAGUGCUGGAAUCAAAGCCAUAUAAUCAUCAAACAGGUCUUUGGUCUUUGUUAUUCAAAAUCAGAGGAAAAUAGAAUUAAUUAAUGACUAAAAAAUAGUUAAGUCUCUCACUUUUUGAAUCCACCUCUCUUUAUAGUAUUCCUUAGGUUUCCCUGUUUUAAGAGUUAGCACUUGUAUCUGAUGGGAGGGGAGUUAGCUUUUUAAAAUUUUUUUUAAU
rnacentral:lncRNA from 1 species